rnacentral:rRNA from 1 species
GAUGAACGCUGGCGGCGUGCCUAAUACAUGCAAGUCGAGCGAACGGACGAGAAGCUUGCUUCUCUGAUGUUAGCGGCGGACGGGUGAGUAACACGUGGAUAACCUACCUAUAAGACUGGGAUAACUUCGGGAAACCGGAGCUAAUACCGGAUAAUAUUUUGAACCGCAUGGUUCAAAAGUGAAAGACGGUCUUGCUGUCACUUAUAGAUGGAUCCGCGCUGCAUUAGCUAGUUGGUAGGGUAACGGCUUACCAAGGCAACGAUGCAUAGCCGACCUGAGAGGAGGAUCAGUCACACUGGAACUGGGACACGGUCCAGACUCCUACGGGAGGCAGCAGGUGGGAAGAUUGGACAAUGGGGGAAAGACUGAACCAGACAUGCAGCGUGUGUGAAGAAGGUCUUAGGAUUGUAAAGCACUUUAAGUGGGGAGGAACAGCAGUAAGCUAAUACCUGGCUGUCUUGACGUUACCAAAAGAAUAAGCACCGGCUAACUUCGUG